UAGGGAAUCUUCCGCAAUGGACGCAAGUCUGACGGAGCAACGCCGCGUGAGUGAAGAAGGAUUUCGGUUCGUAAAACUCUGUUGUUAGAGAAGAACAGCGCAUAGAGUAACUGUUAUGCGUGUGACGGUAUCUAACCAGAAAGCCACGGCUAACUACGUGCCAGCAGCCGCGGUAAUACGUAGGUGGCAAGCGUUGUCCGGAUUUAUUGGGCGUAAAGCGAGCGCAGGCGGUCAAUUAAGUCUGAUGUGAAAGCCCCCGGCUCAACCGGGGAGGGUCAUUGGAAACUGGUUGACUUGAGUGCAGAAGAGGAGAGUGGAAUUCCAUGUGUAACGGUGAAAUGCGUAGAUAUAUGGAGGAACACCAGUGGCGAAGGCGACUCUCUGGUCUGUAACUGACGCUGAGGCUCGAAAGCGUGGGUAGCGAACAGG
rnacentral:rRNA from 1 species